AGCUGCACAGGAGGCUGAGGCUCCGAGGUUGCUCACAGCUGUCUGUGCAGCAUGCAGAAGAGCACAGCUUGGUUCUCAGAGCAAGACAACCCCACUCACUCCCACUGGUCAGAGGAACAGACUGGACAUGGGAGCCACACAGGAUGUCUCAGGAACCACAUUGCACUGGGCUUGGGCAGCACCUCUGCGUAGAACCAGAAGGCCAUGCCCAAGUUCAUGGGCAGAUGCCCCAACCACUCCAGUCCAGCAGGGGAGGACAGGGUCUUGACCCUUACUGUCCCCUUUGCCGUCCUACCCAAUGCAAAGGUGUCAGUAAGCGAUGCACCAGUGGGCCACUGUUUGCAGAAUGAAUAAUCAACCCUCACGUUGGUUCUAGAGAUUUCGGUUCAAAGCCCUGUGUGUUCCUCCCUGAAGUCUCUGCACUACCUAGACAUCUGGGCUGAUAACUGCACACGUUCCAAGACCUGCCACUGACAAAGUCCAUCAGUGAGCUAGGCCUCGUGGACACUCGCUUUUGAAAAUCUCAAGUAAAAGAAGGUCUUCAUUUCAAAACAUGAACUGCAGCCAACAGAAGAAACAUGUCUUUUCUUCUAUAAGAGUUUUUCCAGAAGAAAUCCUUUAAUAAUUCAGAAACGUGUAUCUCACAAAAAUGUUUCUAAAACUAACGGUCACCACGGGACAACAGGACAGCCACACCCUGUCUUCAGUCCAUUUCUUCACCAGCAGCAUAUUGCACAGUGCUGGCAGAGGAGUCUGGAGACUGCAGAAAGCAGGCCAAGAACGCCGAAGCACCACAUGGCAUUCUUCUCUUUGUAUCAUGUAUCCAUUUUCCUACAAAUGACUCCAGUUUUUCUUCACGGCAGAGUAUGUGAAAAUACCACAUUUUCUUUAUCUAUUCAUCUGUUGAUGGACAUACAGGCUGUUUCCAAGAUUCAGCUAGUAUGAACUGUGUAAACGUGAGUAUGCCUGUAACACUGUAAUAUGAUGCCUAACUAUUUCAGGACAGUACCUAGAAGG
rnacentral:lncRNA from 1 species